UCGGGGAUAGUGUAAUGGCAGCACUACGGAUUUUGGUUCCGUCAGUCUAGGUUCGAGUCCUAGUCCCCGAG
rnacentral:tRNA from 1 species